AACAUCGCGCACCUGCGGGAACCUGCGGAGGGAUCAUUACAGAGUGUAAAAACUCCCAAACCCCUGUGAACGUACCUGUCGUUGCUUCGGCGGAUCGCCCCGGGCGCUGCAAUGUGCCCCGGAGUCAGGCGCCCGCCGGAGGACCACAAACUCUUGUUUUAUACCGGAAUUCUCUGAGUGGCAUGUCUCAUGCAAAACAAAAAUGAAUCAAAACUUUCAGCAACGGAUCUCAGAUCGGAA
rnacentral:misc_RNA from 1 species